UACGGAGGGUGCAAGCGUUAUCCGGAUUUAUUGGGUUUAAAGGGUGCGUAGGCGGCUCUAUAAGUCAGUGGUGAAAUCAUCAGGCUCAACCUGAUACCUGCCAUUGAUACUGUAAAGCUUGAGUAUUAUCGACGCGGGAGGAAUGCGACAAGUAGCGGUGAAAUGCUUAGAUAUGUCGCAGAACACCAAUAGCGAAGGCAUCUCGCGAGGUAAUCACUGACGCUAAGGCACGAAAGCGUGGGUAGCAAACAGGAUUAGAUACCCUGGUAGUCCACGCCGUAAACGAUGAUAACUGGGUUUUUAAUGAAGAUCAUUAAGAGCCUGAGUGAAAGCAUUAAGUUAUCCACCUGGGGAGUACGUUCGCAAGUAUGAA
rnacentral:rRNA from 1 species